AACGAACGCUGGCGGCAGGUCUUAGGCAUGCAAGUCGAACGGGUGUAGUAAUACACCAGUGGCGAACGAGUGAGUAACGCGUGGGAAUCUGCCCAUCUCUGGGGAAUAACGUUUGGAAACGAACGCUAAUACCGCAUACGCCCGCAAGGGGAAAGAUUUAUCGGAGAUGGAUGAGCCCGCGUUGGAUUAGUUAGUCGGUGGGGUAACGGCCUACCAAGGCGAUGAUCCAUAGCUGGUCUGAGGGGACGAUCAGCCACGCUGGAACUGAGAUACGGUCCAGACUCAUACGGGAGGCAGCAGCUAGAAUAUUGGGCAAUGGAGGAAACUCUGACCCAGCCAUGCCGCGUGAAUGAAGAAGGCCUUCGGGUUGUAAAGUUCUUUUAGUCGUGACGAUGAUGACGGUAGCGACAGAAAAAGCACCGGCUAACUUCGUGCCAGCAGCCGCGGUAA
rnacentral:rRNA from 1 species